rnacentral:rRNA from 1 species
AGAAGCUUGCUUCUCUUGAGAGCGGCGGACGGGUGAGUAAAGCCUAGGAAUCUGCCUGGUAGUGGGGGAUAACGUUCGGAAACGGACGCUAAUACCGCAUACGUCCUACGGGAGAAAGCAGGGGACCUUCGGGCCUUGCGCUAUCAGAUGAGCCUAGGUCGGAUUAGCUAGUUGGUGAGGUAAUGGCUCACCAAGGCGACGAUCCGUAACUGGUCUGAGAGGAUGAUCAGUCACACUGGAACUGAGACACGGUCCAGACUCCUACGGGAGGCAGCAGUGGGGAAUAUUGGACAAUAGGCGAAAGCCUGAUCCAGCCAUGCCGCGUGUGUGAAGAAGGUCUUCGGAUUGUAAAGCACUUUAAGUUGGGAGGAAGGGCAUUAACCUAAUACGUUAGUGUUUUGACGUUACCGACAGAAUAAGCACCGGCUAACUCUGUGCCAGCAGCCGCGGUAAUACAGAGGGUGCAAGCGUUAAUCGGAAUUACUGGGCGUAAAGCGCGCGUAGGUGGUUUGUUAAGUUGGAUGUGAAAUCCCCGGGCUCAACCUGGGAACUGCAUUCAAAACUGACUGACUAGAGUAUGGUAGAGGGUGGUGGAAUUUCCUGUGUAGCGGUGAAAUGCGUAGAUAUAGGAAGGAACACCAGUGGCGAAGGCGACCACCUGGACUAAUACUGACACUGAGGUGCGAAAGCGU